UUUUGCUUGAUGAUUAUGGCGGUAAAGAGAAUGUGGGGCGAGGAACAGGGUUGUGCUUGUGCCGCCGUUGAUCAUUGUCAACGAAGAACAUCAGCCCAUCCUUCUGCCUUCGUUGAUCGUUGCCGACGGCGGAGAUCAGCCCGUCCUUGUGCCGCCGUUGAUCGUUGCCUAGGAACUCCUUCAGCCGCCGUUGAUCAUUGUCAACGAAGAACAUCAGCCCAUCCUUCUGCCUUCGUUGAUCGUUGCCGACGGCGGAGAUCAGCCCGUCCUUGUGCCGCCGUUGAUCGUUGCCUAGGAACUCCUUCAGCCGCCGCCGUUGAUGGCCGUGGUGACGCAUGUGUGAGGUGAGGAGUGGUGAGGUGUUUGACGUGUGUGAGGUGAGGGAGUGGUGACGGUGAGGUGAGUGAGUGGUGGUGGGG
rnacentral:lncRNA from 1 species